rnacentral:rRNA from 1 species
AUCCCAAGUGCUUUGCUUAUAGCAAGGCUUUUGUUAUAUGUAAAUAGUAUAGCGAAUAAGUGGUGGGUAAGACUUGUGCCAGCCGCCGCGGUAACACCAGCGCCACAAGUGGCAACCGUCUUUAUUGGGCCUAAAGCGUCCGUAGCCGGAUUGGUAAAUUUUCUGUGAAAUUGUUAGGCUUAACCUAAUGGCAUGCAGAAAACACUGCCAAUCUAGGGAUUAGGAGGAGUCAGAGGUAUUUCUGGGGGAGCGGUAAAAUGCUAUAAUCCUAGAAGGACCUCCUGUGGCGAAGGCGUCUGACUAGAAUGAAUCCGACGGUGAGGGACGAAAGCCAGGGGAGCAAUCCGGAUUAGAUACGAGAAAUCAUGUCUGAUUUCUGGAGUUAUCUCGUAAAUUGCUUAAAAAAAGACUAUUUCGAGUUAAUGAAAGAAGUUGCUAAAUGAUGAUUUACUCGCUAACUACCCGAGUAGUCCUGGCUGUAACCUCUGCGAGCUAGGUGUUACAUAUUCUUCGGGAAUAUGUAGUGUCGUAGUGAAGACGUUAAGCUCGCCGCCUGGGAA